CAGGAGCAUGAUGAAGUGCAGAAGGGAGCAAUUACGAGUAUUUACAAUAAAACUAUAUAUAAAGCUCACCAUGAGCAAAGUAUAAUCACUGUCAUACAGAAUAGAUACUUGCCCACUGUUGAGGUGCUGUUCACAGCAUAAGCAGUUUUGUCCAACUCUUUCUAUUGCGCUGGUUACUUUUAACUUUGUUGAUAAUGUAUGUGUCUUCUCCUUGGUGGCAGAAGUCAGCGUCUGUUCCAGUUUUUAGGGUUCCCCACUAUUCCUCAGAGAGAUUUAAAGAAGUUUGUAUUCUUCGUCACCUUCUGAGCUUUGAUAGUUUCUUAGUGUAUGGCAUGCCAGGAAGGAGAAAGCAGCCUACUUUCCUGCAUUAGGUGGAGUGUUGGACAGCAUCUCCUCCACCUCCUUGUUGUCUUCUGGCACUGCAUCGCUGCCUCUCCAACUCGGUAAAGCUCCCAAAUUUGAAAAGCCACAAGCUACCCAGCAAGUGCUCAUGUUCCCAUGCAGUGAUUGUGCAUGAGCAGUUCAUAUAUUUGAGCCGGUUUGCUGAGUACCAGCUGGAGCUCCAGCUAUGUGGGAGGACUUUGUGGGAAAUACUGGCAUUUCCAUCACCUCUACAGUGAUGGCUUCAGCGACGGCCUCCUGAGCUGUGGCAUUUUGAGAACAAUUCCUAGUAGAGAUGGGAACUGCAAGAUGAUGGGUGACCACCACUGUUACCUGUGCCGAGAAGAUGAAGCUGAUUCAUAUAAAAGUCAUUCUUCAUUGUGUUUUAUUCCCCAUUUAGAGAGCAGUUGCUUAAAUUUAAGUAAUUUUUCUAUCUGGUUGAAUGAGUGAUUAAAUAGAUUAACUAAAAUGUAGCUUGAUAUCAUAGAUGUUUAUAAAUUAUUAACAUGGUAGGAUUUAGUUAGAACACUUUUGCUAAAUAAUUUCAGAUCUGGCUCUGUUCUAGAGAGUUUUUCACAUAGAAGUGAGGACAAAAGAAAAUGUAGAAAAAACACACCCAAACAAACAAAAAACCAAAAACCAAACAAAAAUACCCACCCCAAAACAAAAGCCAACCAACCAAACAAAAAAACCCCACCAAAACUAAAAGGAACAAAGACAGUUUUACAAAUGACUGGUUCUUCUUGAAGAGAAUAUAUGGGAUGAAGCAAGAUAGGCAUUUGGGAACCUCAUCCAAGUUUGCCAGGUGAAUUUCAGAUUGCUCCUCAUGUAACUAGUGUUCAGCUCAGACUUGCUGUUACAUUGAUCAUUUGAUGGAAAAUUCUUAUUAUUGUGUUCAGCAGUUGCCAGUUUCAUGCUGGGCAUCUGAAAUUGUAUUCUCCCUCAUUCCAUAGCAGCAUCACUUCAAAAAACAGAGACAGUGAUUUUUUCAGUUCUCUGCUGAUCUGUGUCCCAAGUACCCAGCACCUACUAAACCAGUUUCCUCUUGCUGUCUAUGUAAUCUCUCAGGACAGAGGCAUUUUCAGCUUAACCUGCAAGCAGUGUCUGAAAAAUGCUGUACUCAUACAUGCUUCUAGGCAAUAGUGAAGACUGGGGGCAUUUUACUUGGUU